rnacentral:rRNA from 1 species
AACGAACGCUGGCGGCAUGCCUAACACAUGCAAGUCGAACGAGACCUUCGGGUCUAGUGGCGCACGGGUGCGUAACGCGUGGGAACCUGCCCUUAGGCUCGGAAUAACUCCCCGAAAGGGGUGCUAAUACCGGGUAAUGUCUUCGGACCAAAGAUUUAUCGCCUUUGGAUGGGCCCGCGUUGGAUUAGCUAGUUGGUAGGGUAAAAGCCUACCAAGGCGACGAUCCAUAGCUGGUCUGAGAGGAUGAUCAGCCACACUGGGACUGAGACACGGCCCAGACUCCUACGGGAGGCAGCAGUGGGGAAUAUUGGACAAUGGGCGAAAGCCUGAUCCAGCAAUGCCGCGUGAGUGAUGAAGGCCUUAGGGUUGUAAAGCUCUUUUACCCGGGAUGAUAAUGACAGUACCGGGAGAAUAAGCUCCGGCUAACUCCGUG